ACACACACACACACACUUUGCAUUAGCAGCUCAUGCUUCAGUGCUCUGAGAGACUUUAUAGCUCUGUGACUUUAACACUUCAUGACUGAAAGCUGCUGCUCAGCGACUUCACCCACAGCAACCAUGAGUUUGAUCUUCAUCUUCAUCUGCACACUGGCCCUCUGCACUCGAGGAUCCAGAGGUCAGGUAACUGUGACUCAGAGUCCUGCAGUAAAAUCUGUUUCUCCAGGAGACACGCUCACUAUCAGCUGUAAAACCAAUCCUGAUGUUUACCGCUACAGUGAUGGAGAUGAAGAAAUGCACUGGUAUCAGCAGAAACCUGGAGAAGCUCCUAAACUCCUGAUCUAUUGGGUUAAAAAGUUACAGUCAGGAGUUCCAGCUCGUUUCAGUGGCAGUGGAUCUGGAUCUGAUUUCACUCUGACGAUCAGGGGAGUCCAAACUGAAGAUGCUGGAAAUUAUUACUGUCAGAGUGCACAUGAGAUCAGUGAUAGCUUGGUGUUCACACAGUGUUAGAGAGUCGUACAAAAACCUCAGUGUGUGACUGCUGCCGCUGGGACCUACUGCAGGUGCUGAGAGGGACCAUGUGAUACACCAUCACACACACACACACACACACACAUUAUAUUAAUAAGCUGGCUUUGCUAAAAACACAUUGUGUGUAAUGUUGGAAGCUAACAGAAUUUUUAUUUUACAUUUUAUUUUAGGAGUUACCAUGUACAGGAGGCAAAGUAAAGUGUCUCGAACAGAUCUGUUUCAGUACUGUGAUAAAUUCUAAAUACUGACCGAAGCAUUUUAUGUGCAGCCCCAAAAUGUAUUUUGAGACUCAAAAUAAAAAUGUAUGAAUUUCA